UCAGAACGAACGCUGGCGGCAGGCUUAACACAUGCAAGUCGAGCGCCCCGCAAGGGGAGCGGCAGACGGGUGAGUAACGCGUGGGAAUCUAGCCAUCUCUACGGAACAACUCCGGGAAACUGGAGCUAAUACCGUAUACGUCCUUAUGGAGAAAGAUUUAUCGGAGAUGGAUGAGCCCGCGUUGGAUUAGCUAGUUGGUGGGGUAAUGGCCUACCAAGGCGACGAUCCAUAGCUGGUCUGAGAGGAUGAUCAGCCACACUGGGACUGAGACACGGCCCAGACUCCUACGGGAGGCAGCAGUGGGGAAUAUUGGACAAUGGGCGCAAGCCUGAUCCAGCCAUGCCGCGUGAGUGAUGAAGGCCCUAGGGUUGUGAAGCUCUUUCAACGAUGAAGAUAAUAGACGGUAACCGUAGAAGAAGCCCCGACUAACUUCGUGCCAGCAACCGCGGUAAUACGAAGGGGGAUAGCGUUGUUCGGAAUUACUGGGCGUAAAGCGCACGUAGGCGGAUACUUAAGUCAGGGGUGAAAUCCCGGGGCUCAACCCCGGAACUGCCUUUGAUACUGGGUAUCUGGAGUCCGGAAGAGGUGAGUGGAAUUCCGCCCCUCCCCAGCCUGAAAUUCGUAGAUAUUCGGAGGAACACCAGUGGCGAAGGCGGCUCACUGGUCCGGU
rnacentral:rRNA from 1 species